GACGAACGCUGGCGGCGUGCCUAAUACAUGCAAGUCGAACGCAGGGGGGACGGGUGAGUAACACGUGGGUAACCUCCCAUCAGAGGGGAUAACACGUGGAAACAGGUGCUAAACCGAUACUGGAUGAGGGACCCGGGGGGCAUUAGCUAGUUGGUGGGGUAACGGCUCACCAAGGCACCGAGGCAUAGCUGGCCUGAGAGGGUGAGCGGCCACACUGGAACUGAGACACGGUCCAGACUCCUACGGGAGGCAGCAGUGGGGAAUAUUCGGCAAUGGACGAAAGUCUGACGGAGCAACGCCGCGUGAGUGAAGAAGGUUUUCGGAUCGUAAAGCUCUGUUGGUAGAGAAGCGGUAUCUAAACAGAAAGCCACGGCUAACUACGUGCCAGCCGCCGCGGUAAUAC
rnacentral:rRNA from 1 species